rnacentral:rRNA from 1 species
UAGGGAAUCUUCGGCAAUGGACGGAAGUCUGACCGAGCAACGCCGCGUGAGUGAAGAAGGUUUUCGGAUCGUAAAGCUCUGUUGUAAGAGAAGAACGAGUGUGAGAGUGGAAAGUUCACACUGUGACGGUAUCUUACCAGAAAGGGACGGCUAACUACGUGCCAGCAGCCGCGGUAAUACGUAGGUCCCGAGCGUUGUCCGGAUUUAUUGGGCGUAAAGCGAGCGCAGGCGGUUAGAUAAGUCUGAAGUUAAAGGCUGUGGCUUAACCAUAGUAGGCUUUGGAAACUGUUUAACUUGAGUGCAAGAGGGGAGAGUGGAAUUCCAUGUGUAGCGGUGAAAUGCGUAGAUAUAUGGAGGAACACCGGUGGCGAAAGCGACUCUCUGGCUUGUAACUGACGCUGAGGCUCGAAAGCGUGGGGAGCAAACAGGAUUAGAUACCCUGGUAGUCCACGCUGUAAACGAUGAGUGCUAGGUGUUAGACCCUUUCCGGGGUUUAGUGCCGUAGCUAACGCAUUAAGCACUCCGCCUGGGGAGUACGACCGCAAGGUU